rnacentral:rRNA from 1 species
AGAGUUUGAUCCUGGCUCAGGAUGAACGCUAGCGGCAGGCCUAACACAUGCAAGUCGAGGGGGAGGUUACUUUCGGGUAACUGAGACCGGCGUACGGGUGCGUAACGCGUAUACAAUCUGCCUUUCACUGGGGGAUAGCCCGAAGAAAUUUGGAUUAAUACCCCAUAGUAUAUAGGGACGGCAUCGUUUUUAUAUUAAAGCUUAGGUGGUGAAAGAUGAGUAUGCGUUCUAUUAGCUAGUUGGAGAGGUAACGGCUCCCCAAGGCGAUGAUAGAUAGGGGUUCUGAGAGGGAUGUCCCCCACACUGGUACUGAGAUACGGACCAGACUCCUACGGGAGGCAGCAGUGAGGAAUAUUGGACAAUGGUCGGAAGACUGAUCCAGCCAUGCCGCGUGCAGGAUGACGGCCUUAUGGGUUGUAAACUGCUUUUGUAAGGGAAGAAUAAGGGCUACGCGUAGUUUGAUGACGGUACCUUACGAAUAAGCAUCGGCUAACUCCGUGCCAGCAGCCGCGGUAAUACGGAGGAUGCGAGCGUUAUCCGGAAUCAUUGGGUUUAAAGGGUCUGUAGGCGGGCUGGUAAGUCAGAGGUGAAAGCGCUUAGCUCAACUAAGCAACUGCCUUUGAAACUGUUGGUCUUGAAUGGUUGUGAAGUAGUUGGAAUGUGUAGUGUAGCGGUGAAAUGCUUAGAUAUUACACAGAACACCGAUAGCGAAGGCAUAUUACUAACAAUUAAUUGACGCUGAUGGACGAAAGCGUGGGGAGCGAACAGGAUUAGAUACCCUGGUAGUCCACGCUGUAAACGAUGGAUACUAGCUGUUUGGAGUAAUCUGAGUGGCUAAGCGAAAGUGAUAAGUAUCCCACCUGGGGAGUACGUUCGCAAGAAUGAAACUCAAAGGAAUUGACGGGGGCCCGCACAAGCGGUGGAGCAUGUGGUUUAA